rnacentral:lncRNA from 1 species
GAUUCCAAUCCCUGGCAACCAUCUUAACACAUUUGGCUCGCUCGGAUUCAUCGGUUGCUGAUGCUUUCUCGUGUCUGCCCGUUUGUAUGCCCCGAAAUCAGCACCUUGAAUAUGUGGAAGAACCGAUAUUCGCGACGAGAUGGAUGCUUCCCAACAUCACUAGAGAUCUGCUGAUGCUCGAGAACCAGUUGCCCUUUUUCGUGCUGAAGGAAAUCUACGAGCUGACCACCUCCGGUGAGGAAGAAAACUCGCUAAACAAGCUCGCGCUCCUGUUCUUCGAGCCUCUAGGACCCCAGAAGGGCGAAUACAGCGAGAUAAAGCUGCAAGACGAAGGGUGUUAGAGAAUCAAGAUCAGAAGCCAAGUCUGCAAUAUUGAGAAGUCAAUCACAGGAGGUGAAGUCCUCGACAAUUAUAGAUGUGGAUCACCAGAAGGCAGUCAAGAAGCAAAAAGAGUUGAAGAAAUUGAUAACUCAUGGAUAAUGAGUUUCAUCAACGGUGGAGAUCAUACAGAUGUCAAAGACACGGAUUACCAAAGUCUCAAGAUUGCUGAGUCUCAAGAUUGCUGCGGAUUACCAAAGUCUCAAGAUUGCUGUUCUGUUUUGCUUAGCUGUAAAGUUUGUUAGCGAAAGUUAGUUAGUUUGUUUUUCUAGUUGUUAGUCCUCUGUUUUCCGCAUAUAUACAGAGAGGUGCCCUUUUUCGUGCUGAAGGAAAUCUACGAGCUGACCACCUCCGGUGAGGAAGAAAACUCGCUAAACAAGCUCGCGCUCCUGUUCUUCGAGCCUCUAGGACCCCAGAAGGGCGAAUACAGCGAGAUAAAGCUGCAAGAC